rnacentral:rRNA from 1 species
AACGAACGCUGGCGGCAUGCCUAACACAUGCAAGUCGAACGAGACCUUCGGGUCUAGUGGCGCACGGGUGCGUAACGCGUGGUAAUCUGCCCUUGGGUUCGGAAUAACAGUGAGAAAUUACUGCUAAUACCGGAUGAUUUCUUCUGACCAAAGAUUUAUCGCCCAGGGAUGAGCCCGCGUAGGAUUAGCUUGUUGGUGGGGUAAUGGCCUACCAAGGCGACGAUCCUUAGCUGGUAUGAGAGGAUGAUCAGCCACACUGGGACUGAGACACGGCCCAGAAUACUACGGGAGGAAGCAGUGGGGAAUAUUGGAAAAUGGGCGCAAGACUGAUGAAGCAAUGCCGCGUGAGUGAUGAAGGCCUUAGGGUUGUAAAGCUCUUUUAACCGGGAUGAUAAUGACAGUACCGGGAGAAUAAGCACCGGCUAACUCCGUG